UGGGGAAUAUUGGACAAUGGGCGCAAGCCUGAUCCAGCAAUGCCGCGUGCAGGAAGAAGGCCUUCGGGUUGUAAACUGCUUUUGUACGGAACGAAACGGUCUGCCCUAAUACGGCGGGCUAAUGACGGUACCGUAAGAAUAAGCACCGGCUAACUACGUGCCAGCAGCCGCGGUAAUACGGAGGAUCCAAGCGUUAUCCGGAAUCAUUGGGUUUAAAGGGUCCGUAGGCGGUUUAGUAAGUCAGUGGUGAAAGCCCAUCGCUCAACGAUGGAACGGCCAUUAUGACUGCAAGGCUGGAGUGCGGCAGAGGGGGAUGGAAUUCCGCGUGUAGCAGUGAAAUGCGUAGAUAUGCGGAGGAACACCGAUGGCGAAGGCAAUCCCCUGGGCCUGCACUGACGCUCAUGCACGAAAGCGUGGGGAGCAAACA
rnacentral:rRNA from 1 species